AAAUAAGAAAAAUUUUGCCGCAUCCUUAAUUUGCUGUUUUCCUCUUAAUUGCAAGAUACGCGAAACGAAGCAACUGAAUGAACGAGGAUACGAAUGAAAUCCCAUUUCCUUAUCUUUGUGUCGAAUGAUGGAAUUAAAAAUUAAAUUCUCAAAAACAUA